CCGGUCGUGUUCGUCGGCAGGCCUGUGCUUUGGGGGCUCGCUUACAACGGCAAAAAAGGUGUCGACAAGGUGCUGGAUAUCUUCGGGAGUGAAUUUAACCGCACGAUUCAGCUACUUGGAGUGCCAGAUGCCAGUAAUUUGUGCACCGAUUUUGUUGUCCGUGAAACCACCUACUCUCAGCCACUGCACCGAAACUGCGCACCGAGACAACCCUGGGGUGAUUGGGUGCCGUACAAGAUCACUAAGUAGCGCGGACGAGGGAUCACAAGACUGUCACUCACGUAACAUGAAAUCAGUCACCAGCACUUUCAGCCUUUUCCAUUGUCACUCAUAUAAUAAAAGUGAUUUACUUUCUUAUUGCGUAGAGUA
rnacentral:lncRNA from 1 species